CCCAGCCCCGGCCCCGGCACCCACCUCGCUGCCUGCAGGCGCUGACCAAGCCCUUCCCACCACAGACUCCAGAGCUCAGGGAGACGUGGGCACCCUCAGGCCCAGCCCGACCCUUCCCUGCACCCACCUCUGUGGCAACAGCGUCCCUGCUCCGAAUGCAGCGCCUCGGGCCGGCGCUGGCUGUUUCUGGAGAAAACUUUCUGGAAGGCCUGUUGUCAGGUAGGUGGUGAGAACGCGUGACCCCCCUCAAAGCCUGCCCUCUGCCUAGGCCCUGCCCCGGGCUGACGGCCCGAGGACGCCCCACGCUCCGAGCUCACACGCCACGCCCAGGAGAUGCAGCCUGUGGGCCCAAGAUGGCUCCGAAUCGGAAACCCAGCCGCGACCGAGCAGGGGCCCACCUUUCCCGGGAGGGGAAGGACCCGCUGGGCCUGUGUCUGCGGUGACCGGAGCUCCCUGGACGCUAGUAAGGCUGGCCACUGCCCGUCUGUCACCUGCACCCUUGCCCCGAGUCAGCCACGGAGGGGCCGGGCCAGGCCUCCCCUGCAGGGAGCAGCCUCCGGGAGCCGGGCCACCACCCGCCCUUACCUGCCCCGACAGGUUCUGCCGCUGAGGACGCUCCCGCCCAGCCCUGCAGCCCGCGCCUCCCCCGACGCCCGGGUGGGUGUGAACCGGCUUCGGAAGGGAUGAGAGACCCAAGUCCCCGUCCGUCCCCAUCGAAGGAGCCGGGCGCGGCCUCAGCGUGUCACCAGCCAGGGUCCAGACUUGGGGUGUCGGGGUUGGGGGGAGACCUGGCGGCCACCCGGCAAAGAUGAGUUUCCUACCUCCCCUUCAGGGAAAAGCCGGUUUGGACCUGCACAGGUGGACAACUCGCCCGUCUCGGGGAGAGUGUGGAGGGCGAGGGGACACUGGAGGCGGCUGCGAGGUGGGGGCCUCGAGAGGGGAGAGCCGCCUCCCGCGCGCCUUACAAGGAGCCGCGCUCCCCGCCCCGCACAGGUGCGGGCUCCCGCCGGCCAAUCUGCGCUCCUGGCUCCCGACAGGUCCCGGAGCGGUUCUUCCUGGGUCCCUGCUGGUCUGCAGGAGGCUGGAGGCAGCUCUGACUGAGGGAGAGAGAGCGUGCAGGUGAGGCCGUGCCCAGGGACGCUUCACAGAGCCGUGGCUCCCUCCACGGCCUGCCACCUCGGACGCAGACUGAGGCCCCAUGGAUGACGGUGGCCCCUGAGUGCCUGCGGCUGGAUUAAGCCCAGGUGACGUCUGCCCUCCGACCUCAAAGGUUAAACCACCCAGGGCUCACCCCUGUCAUCCCAGCGCUUCAGGAGGUGGCGUCCGAAGGUUCACUGGAGCCCAGGAGUUCAAGACCGGCCUGGGCAACAUGGUGAGACCCCGUCUCUACAAAAAAUGUAAAAAUUAGCCGGCUGUGAUGGUGCAGGCCUGUGGGCCCCCUGUGGGAGGACUGCUUGAGCCUGGGAGGCGGAGGCCACCGUGAACCGAGAUCUCACCGCCACACUCCAGCCUGGGCGACAGUCAGACCCUGUUUCAAAAGAGAAAACACGAAGGUAAAAGGCCUGAGUUUUCUGCGGGAGGUUAGUAAGCGUCUCUGCCUGGAACCGGUGAAACAGCGAGAGAGCAACUGGCCGGCCCUGGGGAGAGGGAGCCCCCGGCCCUGUCCGUGGCUCCUCCGGCCUGGGCAGCUGUCCUGGCCCAGGAGCCGCCGAGUUCAGCCCUGAGCAGCCCGGGGCCCUUGACCCUCGCUACUGUGGACGUGGAGAGUGGCGGGCACUGGGCGGGCCCCUGUCACCCAUAAUAAACCCCCCUGGGCCGCUCCCUGGCUUUGAGGAGGAAUAUUUUCGUCUGGCUGAACACCUGCCUCCCGGCCUCCUGGUGACACCCCAGCCCCACACCGUCCUGCCUGAUUCCGGAGUAGCAUGAAAACGGCCUGCAUCGGCCGUGGGGACGGAGCGGCCGGACUUGUGCACACUCUCACCUGCUUUUUAUUUUUCUCAGACGGAGUCUUGGUCU